UCCUGAGCGGGACAAUGAGAGCGACAGGACCUGCUCACGAUCCCUCUCAGCUGUCUGGUGGGGAAGAGUGGAGUCAAGAGGAGAGGAGAGGAGAGGAAAGGGGGCUGCCAGCCAUGAGGCCCACAUGUUUCAGCCGAAGCCACUUGAAGCCACGUGGACAGAGGGACCCACAGCAUCCUCUCUAGCAGCCCCCGGGUACAUAGUUGUAUAUUCUUCGUUGUGGGUCCUCCUAGUUGUGGCAUGUGGGAUGCCGCCUCAGCGUGGUUUGAUGAGCGGUGCCAUGUCCGUGCCCUGGAUGCGAACCAACGAAACACUGGGCCGCCUGCAGCGGAGCGCGCGAACUUAACACUCGGCCACUGGGCCAGCCCACCGUUAUCUUCUUUUGAGGGAAGGAAACUGAGGCUCAGUGGGGCUGGGAUCACACAGACCGACAGCUGUUGUGGCGCCCUGGCCAUCCCAAAAGCUCCAGCAUUCCAUUUCAAGGAUCUCUUGCUGGCUUCCCUCCUACCAUCAUUCCUCUGAGAGAACGUGGCCUUGAGAACAAGGAGUGGAGAGCUGCCAGCUACUGCCACCUGACACAGAGCCUCAUUGCCCUUGCCUGUCUCCUUCCCCUGUCCAUCUUCAGUGUAGGGUCAAGAAGUGGGUCACUCCUUCCUUUUAUCCGAG
rnacentral:lncRNA from 1 species